GAGUUUUGAUCAUGGCUCAGGAUGAACGCUAGCGACAGGCUUAACACAUGCAAGUCGAGGGGCAGCGGGGAGUAGCAAUACUUCGCCGGCGACCGGUCGCACGGGUGAGUAACACGUGUGCAACCAACCCCGUACCGGGAGAUAACCCGCGGAAACGUGGACUAACAUCCCAUAAUACUGGAGGAUCGCAUGAUCUUUCA
rnacentral:rRNA from 1 species